GGUUAAGUUAGAAAGGGCGCACGGUGGAUGCCUUGACACUAGGAGUCGAUGAAGGACGGGACUAACGCCGAUAUGCUUCGGGGAGCUGUAAGUAAGCUUUGAUCCGAAGAUUUCCGAAUGGGGAAACCCACCAUACGUAAUGGUAUGGUAUCCUUAUCUGAAUACAUAGGGUAAGGAAGACAGACCCAGGGAACUGAAACAUCUAAGUACCUGGAGGAAGAGAAAGCAAAUGCGAUUUCCUGAGUAGCGGCGAGCGAAACGGAACAUAGCCCAAACCAAGAGGCUUGCCUCUUGGGGUUGUAGGACAUUCUAUACGGAGUUACAAAGGAACGAGGUAGACGAAGCGACCUGGAAAGGUCCGUCGUAGAGGGUAACAACCCCGUAGUCGAAACUUCGUUCUCUCUUGAAUGUAUCCUGAGUACGGCGGAACACGUGAAAUUCCGUCGGAAUCUGGGAGGACCAUCUCCCAAGGCUAAAUACUCCCUAGUGAUCGAUAGUGAACCAGUACCGUGAGGGAAAGGUGAAAAGCACCCCGGAAGGGGAGUGAAAGAGAUCCUGAAACCGUGUGCCUACAAAUAG
rnacentral:rRNA from 1 species